UACGAAGGGGGCUAGCGUUGUUCGGAAUUACUGGGCGUAAAGCGCACGUAGGCGGUCUUUUAAGUCGGGGGUGAAAUCCUGGAGCUCAACUCCAGAACUGCCUUCGAUACUGGAAGACUUGAGUCCGGGAGAGGUGAGUGGAACUGCGAGUGUAGAGGUGAAAUUCGUAGAUAUUCGCAAGAACACCAGUGGCGAAGGCGGCUCACUGGCCCGGUACUGACGCUGAGGUGCGAAAGCGUGGGGAGCAAACAGGG
rnacentral:rRNA from 1 species